rnacentral:lncRNA from 1 species
CUCACCUUAUGGUAAUCUCCUACGGGAGAUGCGUAAAUGAGGAACGUGUACUCAGGUGCUGGAGCUGCUCCAAGGAUAGCGCCACUCCCUAUUAGCCGAGGCCUUGUAUACAAAACUCCUUUACCCGGAGGAGGAACAUAAAACACCAAAAAAAACCAUAAAACCCGUGAGGAGCUUCUAGAGAUGAGAGCAAACUAUGAUCAAGAAUCAUAUCGAUUGGAAUAGAGAUACACAUUGGUCCAUAGUCCAUACCCAUUUCUUGAUGGCAUGUACAGUUUGCUUAACUGCUUCGAUGAAUUGCUCCACAGAAGGUGGUGUCAUACAAAGCCUAUCAGCACAUGUUUGCAUACUAAGAGCGUUUUCGUCAGGCCGGAACAGCCUAACCUGGUCGUCUUCUGUCCUGUCAGCUUUGAGAUCUUCAAAUAGUCCCUACAAAGGCAAACCAAUAUCAAAAAAGUUUUUCUAUCAAACCCUCAUAUAUGUGUAUAAACACUAAAUCUCUAAGCUUUUGCUCGCUUAUACACUGAAAUCAAAUAGCUUUAAACAAUCUAUGUAUCACUACUUUGAAUCCAGAGAUUAAAAGCUUCUAACUAAUGAUCCUGCCCUAAUUAAACCCAAACGUCCUAUAAUGUUGUCGCAAGGGACUUCGAAGGAGUUGAUGUUGAGUAGUUUAUUCUCUGCAAGCUACUAAAAAGAUCUGUUAGGCUAUCAUUUAAGAAUAAAUCUUGCACCUGAAUCAACUGCCAACGCUUUGUGUUCAACAUCAACAAAGAAAAAUGAAAAUAAUGCAUAUUAUUAGGCUAUUAGCGAGAAAUACAACAACUGGUCAUCAUAAUGAAAGUUUUAAGAAUUUGCCUUAGGUUGAAUAUUGGGUGGUCUGUCUCGAAAUCCUCGGUAUAAGUUUCGGUUUGAAUAAUUUAAGAAUCCCAAUGUCAAAAGCCUACAAAGUGUUUAGAACCAUACCUCUUGAACAGGAUCGAAGAAAGCUCAUGAGAGGAAACUCGUCAUCGCCGUCCAGGAACCCUAACCCAAAAUCUACAGUUAACCCUAAUCAGCUCUUGAGAAUAGGAGAGGCGAAAAAAGGGGUGAGUUGUUUCAAUAUCCUUUAUGGAGGAUGGAGGUGGAAGCGGCGGCGGGGAAUUGAGAGAGGUGGGCUCAAUCGGAGAUGAGUUAGGGUUUAGGUUAGCUGGGUCGGGGGGGAACGGGAGGUGGAGAAGGAGGCUGAGAAGAAGGCGAGGAAGGAGGAUGUGGUGAGAUGGUUCAGCCAUAACGGCAGAGACGGUGGAGGAGAAAAUCGGAGACGGCAUUCUCGAAAGAGAAUUUUUUUUUUCCAAAGAACUUGUUUUUGUUCUUCUCCGAACAAUAUAAA